CCUACGGGAGGCAGCAGUGGGGAAUUUUGGACAAUGGGCGCAAGCCUGAUCCAGCAAUGCCGCGUGAGUGAAGAAGGCCUUCGGGUUGUAAAGCUCUUUUGUCAGGGAAGAAACGGUGGGAGCUAAUAUCUUCCACUAAUGACGGUACCUGAAGAAUAAGCACCGGCUAACUACGUGCCAGCAGCCGCGGUAAUACGUAGGGUGCAAGCGUUAAUCGGAAUUACUGGGCGUAAAGCGUGCGCAGGCGGUUUUGUAAGUCUGUCGUGAAAGCCCCGGGCUCAACCUGGGAAUUGCGAUGGAGACUGCAAGGCUUGAAUCUGGCAGAGGGGGGUAGAAUUCCACGUGUAGCAGUGAAAUGCGUAGAGAUGUGGAGGAACACCGAUGGCGAAGGCAGCCCCCUGGGUCAAGAUUGACGCUCAUGCACGAAAGCGUGGGGAGCAAACAGGAUUAGAUACCCUGGUAGUCCACGCCCUAAACGAUGUCUACUAGUUGUCGGGUUUUAAUUAACUUGGUAACGCAGCUAACGCGUGAAGUAGACCGCCUGGGGAGUACGGUCGCAAGNUUAAAACGUCAAAGGAAUUGACGG
rnacentral:rRNA from 1 species